GAUGAACGCUGGCGGCGUGCCUAAUACAUGCCAGUCGAGCGAACGGACGAGAAGCUUGCUUCUCUGAUGUUAGCGGCGGACGGGUGAGUAACACGUGGAUAACCUACCUAUAAGACUGGGAUAACUUCGGGAAACCGGAGCUAAUACCGGAUAAUAUUUUGAACCGCAUGGUUCAAAAGUGAAAGACGGUCUUGCUGUCACUUAUAGAUGGAUCCGCGCUGCAUUAGCUAGUUGGUAAGGUAACGGCUUACCAAGGCAACGAUGCAUAGCCGACCUGAGAGGGUGAUCGGCCACACUGGAACUGAGACACGGUCCAGACUCCUACGGGAGGCAGCAGUAGGGAAUCUUCCGCAAUGGGCGAAAGCCUGACGGAGCAACGCCGCGUGAGUGAUGAAGGUCUUCGGAUCGUAAAACUCUGUUAUUAGGGAAGAACAUAUGUGUAAGUAACUGCGCACAUCUUGACGGUACCUAAUCAGAAAGCCACGGCUAACUACGUG
rnacentral:rRNA from 1 species